rnacentral:rRNA from 1 species
CAGUAGCCGCGGGAAUACGUAGGGUGCGAGCGUUAAUCGGAAUUACUGGGCGUAAAGCGUGCGCAGGCGGUUCGUUAAGACAGAUGUGAAAUCCCCGGGCUUAACCUGGGAACUGCAUUUGUGACUGACGGGCUAGAGUAUGGCAGAGGGGGGUAGAAUUCCACGUGUAGCAGUGAAAUGCGUAGAGAUGUGGAGGAAUACCGAUGGCGAAGGCAGCCCCCUGGGCCAAUACUGACGCUCAUGCACGAAAGCGUGGGGAGCAAACAGGAUUAGAUACCCCCGUAGUCCCUGUCUCUUAUCC